rnacentral:rRNA from 1 species
GAUGAACGCUGGCGGCGUGCUUAACACAUGCAAGUCGAACGAAGCAACAUGAACUGAUUUUUCGGAAUGAAGAUCUUGUUGACUUAGUGGCGGACGGGUGAGUAACGCGUGGGUAACCUACCAUGUAGAGGGGGACAACAGUUGGAAACGACUGCUAAUACCGCAUAACGAGUCAAUUUCGCAUGUUAUUGACUUUAAAGAUUUAUCGCUACAUGAUGGACCCGCGUCUGAUUAGCUAGUUGGUGAGGUAACGGCCCACCAAGGCAACGAUCAGUAGCCGGCUUGAGAGAGUGAACGGCCACAUUGGGACUGAGACACGGCCCAAACUCCUACGGGAGGCAGCAGUGGGGAAUAUUGCACAAUGGGGGAAACCCUGAUGCAGCGACGCCGCGUGAGUGAAGAAGUAUUUCGGUAUGUAAAGCUCUAUCAGCAGGGAAGAUAAUGACGGUACCUGACUAAGAAGCCCCGGCUAACUACGUG